rnacentral:rRNA from 1 species
UGGGUAACCUACCUCAUACACAUGGAUAACACACCGAAAGGUAUGCUAAUACAAGAUGAUAUAAGAGAUUCGCAUGGAUUUCUUAUCAAAGCUCCGGCGGUAUGAGAUGGUCCCGCGUCUGAUUAGCUAGUUGGUAAGGUAACGGCUUACCAAGGCGACGAUCAGUAGCCGACCUGAGAGGGUGAUCGGCCACAUUGGAACUGAGACACGGUCCAAAUUCCGUAGGA